UGGGGUGUAGCUCAGCGGUAGUAGCGGGAAGCUGUUAACUUCUAGGUCGCAGGUUCGAUCCCUGCCGCCCCAG
rnacentral:tRNA from 1 species